AUUGAACGCUGGCGGAAUGCUUUACACAUGCAAGUCGAACGGCAGCACGGACUUCGGUCUGGUGGCGAGUGGCGAACGGGUGAGUAACAUAUCGGAACGUAUCCAAUAAUGGGGGAUAACGAGUCGAAAGAUUCGCUAAUACCGCAUACGCCCUACGGGGGAAAGCUGGGGACCUUCGGGCCUGGCGUUAAUGGAGCGGCCGAAAUAUGCUUAGCUUGUGGGUGAGGUAAAGGCUCACCAAGGCGACGAUCAGUAGCUGGUCUGAGAGGAAGACCAGCGACACUGGGACUGAGACACGGUCCAGACUCCUACAGGAGUCAUCAGUGGGUAAUUUUGGACAAUGGGCGCAAGCCUGAUCCAGCCAUUCCGCAUUAUUGAAGAAGGCCUUCGGGUUGUAAAGCUCUUUCGCAAGGGAAGAAAACUUAGCCACUAACAUUGGUUGAGGUUGACGGUACCUUGAUAAGAAGCGCCGGCUAACUACGUGCCAGCCGCCGCCGUAA
rnacentral:rRNA from 1 species